rnacentral:rRNA from 1 species
ACAAGUGCAUGUGGUGGAUGCCUUGGCGAUCACAGGCGAUGAAGGACGCGGUAGCCUGCGAAAAGCUACGGGGAGCUGGCAAACAAGCUUUGAUCCGUAGAUGUCCGAAUGGGGAAACCCACUCCUUUUGGAGUAUCCAUGGCUGAAUACAUAGGCCAUGUGAAGCGAACGCGGUGAACUGAAACAUCUAAGUAACCGCAGGAAAAGAAAUCAACCGAGAUUCCCAAAGUAGUGGCGAGCGAAAUGGGAUGAGCCUUGCACUCUUUAUUUGUAUUGUUAGCCGAACGCUCUGGAAAGUGCGGCCAUAGCAGGUGAUAGCCCUGUAGGCGAAAACAGUAUGAAAGAACUAGGUGUGCGACAAGUAGGGCGGGACACGUGAAAUCCUGUCUGAAGAUGGGGGGACCAUCCUCCAAGGCUAAAUACUCGUGAUCGACCGAUAGUGAACCAGUACCGUGAGGGAAAGGCGAAAAGAACCCCGGGAGGGGAGUGAAAUAGAUCCUGAAACCGCAUGCAUACAAACAGUCGGAGCCUCGUAAGGGGUGACGGCGUACCUUUUGUAUAAUGGGUCAGCGACUUACGUUCAGUAGCAAGCUUAACCGUAUAGGGCAGGCGUAGCGAAAGCGAGUCCGAAUAGGGCGUUCAGUUGCUGGGCGUAGACCCGAAACCAGGUGAUCUAUCCAUGGCCAGGAUGAAGGUGCGGUAACACGUACUGGAGGUCCGAACCCACUAACGUUGAAAAGUUAGGGGAUGAGCUGUGGAUAGGGGUGAAAGGCUAAACAAACCUGGAAAUAGCUGGUUCUCUCCGAAAACUAUUUAGGUAGUGCCUCGUGUCUCACCUUCGGGGGUAGAGCACUGUCAUGGUUGGGGGGUCUAUUGCAGAUUACCCCGCCAUAGCAAACUCCGAAUACCGAAGAGUGCAAUCACGGGAGACAGACAUCGGGUGCUAACGUCCGGUGUCAAGAGGGAAACAACCCAGACCGCCAGCUAAGGUCCCCAAAUAUAGCUAAGUGGGAAACGAAGUGGGAAGGCUAAAACAGUCAGGAGGUUGGCUUAGAAGCAGCCACCCUUUAAAGAAAGCGUAAUAGCUCACUGAUCGAGUCGUCCUGCGCGGAAGAUGUAACGGGGCUAAGCUAUAUACCGAAGCUGCGGAUGCGUGCUUUGCACGCAUGGUAGGAGAGCGUUCCGUAAGCCUGCGAAGGUGCCUUGUAAAGGGUGCUGGAGGUAUCGGAAGUGCGAAUGCUGACAUGAGUAGCGAUAAAGGGGGUGAAAGGCCCCCUCGCCGUAAGCCCAAGGUUUCCUACGCAACGUUCAUCGGCGUAGGGUGAGUCGGCCCCUAAGGCGAGGCAGAAAUGCGUAGCUGAUGGGAAGCAGGUCAAUAUUCCUGCACCAUUGUUAGAUGCGAUGGGGGGACGGAUCGCGGAAGGUUGUCCGGGUGUUGGAAGUCCCGGUCGCUGCAUUGGAGAAGGCGCUUAGGCAAAUCCGGGCGCGGAAUUCAAGGGUGUGGCGCGAGCUCCUUAGGGAGCGAAGCAAUUGGAAGUGGUUCCAAGAAAAGCCUCUAAGCUUCAGUCUAAUGAUGACCGUACCGCAAACCGACACAGGUGGGCGAGAUGAGUAUUCUAAGGCGCUUGAGAGAACUCGGGAGAAGGAACUCGGCAAAUUGGUACCGUAACUUCGGGAUAAGGUACGCCCUUGUAGCUUGACUGGCUUGCGCCAGAAGGGUGAAGGGGUUGCAAUAAACUGGUGGCUGCGACUGUUUAAUAAAAACACAGCACUCUGCAAACACGAAAGUGGACGUAUAGGGUGUGACGCCUGCCCGGUGCCGGAAGAUUAAAUGAUGGGGUGCAAGCUCUUGAUUGAAGUCCCGGUAAACGGCGGCCGUAACUAUAACGGUCCUAAGGUAGCGAAAUUCCUUGUCGGGUAAGUUCCGACCUGCACGAAUGGCGUAACGAUGGCCACACUGUCUCCUCCCGAGACUCAGCGAAGUUGAAGUGUUUGUGAUGAUGCAAUCUACCCGCGGCUAGACGGAAAGACCCCAUGAACCUUUACUGUAGCUUUGCAUUGGACUUUGAACCGAUCUGUGUAGGAUAGGUGGGAGGCUAUGAAACCGGAACGCUAGUUUCGGUGGAGCCGUCCUUGAAAUACCACCCUGGUUUGUUUGAGGUUCUAACCUUGGCCCGUGAUCCGGGUCGGGGACAGUGCAUGGUAGGCAGUUUGACUGGGGCGGUCUCCUCCCAAAGCGUAACGGAGGAGUACGAAGGUACGCUAGGUACGGUCGGAAAUCGUGCUGAUAGUGCAAUGGCAUAAGCGUGCUUAACUGCGAGACCGACAAGUCGAGCAGGUGCGAAAGCAGGUCAUAGUGAUCCGGUGGUUCUGUAUGGAAGGGCCAUCGCUCAACGGAUAAAAGGUACUCUGGGGAUAACAGGCUGAUACCGCCCAAGAGUUCAUAUCGACGGCGGUGUUUGGCACCUCGAUGUCGGCUCAUCUCAUCCUGGGGCUGUAGCCGGUCCCAAGGGUAUGGCUGUUCGCCAUUUAAAGAGGUACGUGAGCUGGGUUUAAAACGUCGUGAGACAGUUUGGUCCCUAUCUGCCGUGGGCGUUGGAUAUUUGAAGGGGGCUGCUCCUAGUACGAGAGGACCGGAGUGGACGAACCUCUGGUGUACCGGUUGUCACGCCAGUGGCAUCGCCGGGUAGCUAUGUUCGGAAGAGAUAACCGCUGAAAGCAUCUAAGCGGGAAACUCGCCUUAAGAUGAGAUAUCCCUGGGGACUAGAUCCCCUUGAAGGGUCGUUCGAGACCAGGACGUUGAUAGGUCAGGUGUGUAAGCGCAGUAAUGCGUUCAGCUAACUGAUACUAAUUGCCCGUAAGGCUUGAUC